UACGGAGGGUGCAAGCGUUAUCCGGAUUCACUGGGUUUAAAGGGUGCGUAGGUGGGUCUGUAAGUCAGUGGUGAAAUCUCCGGGCUUAACCCGGAAACUGCCAUUGAUACUAUAGGUCUUGAAUUAUCUGGAGGUAAGCGGAAUAUGUCAUGUAGCGGUGAAAUGCUUAGAUAUGACAUAGAACACCAAUUGCGAAGGCAGCUUACUACGGAUUGAUUGACGCUGAGGCGCGAAAGCGUGGGGAGCAAACAGG
rnacentral:rRNA from 1 species